rnacentral:rRNA from 1 species
UACGGAGGGGGCUAGCGUUGUUCGGAAUUACUGGGCGUAAAGCGCACGUAGGCGGCUUUGUAAGUUAGAGGUGAAAGCCUGGAGCUCAACUCCAGAAUUGCCUUUAAGACUGCAUCGCUUGAAUCCGGGAGAGGUGAGUGGAAUUCCGAGUGUAGAGGUGAAAUUCGUAGAUAUUCGGAAGAACACCAGUGGCGAAGGCGGCUCACUGGACCGGCAUUGACGCUGAGGUGCGGAAGCGUGGGGAGCAAACAGG